rnacentral:rRNA from 1 species
UACAGAGGGUGCGAGCGUUAAUCGGAAUUACUGGGCGUAAAGCGCGCGUAGGCGGCUUUGCAAGUCGGGUGUGAAAUCCCCAGGCUUAACCUGGGAACUGCAUUCGAGACUGCAUUGCUAGAGUAUGGGAGAGGGAAGUGGAAUUUCCGGUGUAGCGGUGAAAUGCGUAGAUAUCUGAAGGAACAUCAGUGGCGAAAGCGACUUCCUGGACGAAUACUGACGCUCAUGUGCGAAAGCGUGGGGAGCAAACAGG